UAUUACUGAAAGAUCCCUGAAGGGAGACCCUUACUCAAGUCUCGGGAAAUUGUGGACCCCAGAUGCAGAGAGACCA
rnacentral:pre_miRNA from 14 species